CAGCCGCCGCGGUAAUACGUAGGGUGCGAGCGUUAAUCGGAUUUACUGGGCGUAAAGCGUGCGCAGGCGGCCCGUUAAGACAGGUGUGAAAUCCCUGGGCUCAACCUAGGAAUUGCGCUUGUGACUGGCGGGCUCGAGUACGGUAGAGGGGGGUGGAAUUCCUGGUGUAGCAGUGAAAUGCGUAGAGAUCAGGAGGAACACCGAUGGCGAAGGCAGCCCCCUGGGCCUGUACUGACGCUCAUGCACGAAAGCGUGGGGAGCAAACAGGAUUAGAGACCCUGGUAGUCCACGCCCUAAACGAUGGGUACUAGCCGUUUGGUGCGCGAUAGCGCUGAGUGGCGAAGCUAACGCGUGAAGUACCCCGCCUGGGGAGUACGGCCGCAAGGUUGAAACUUAAAGGAAUUGGCGGG
rnacentral:rRNA from 1 species